AACCCAAAUGACCUGGGACAGUUAAAGAAACAGGGUGCUUAAACUGAUUAAAAAAGGUAUCGCGUUGACAUCAUACGCUGGAAAGCUGGUUGGGGUCAUCUGGGACAUGCUACUUCUGAUUCUUCAAUCCAUAGUGCUCUUUUUCGGAUUGUUUGCAGGACUUCACAAGCAUUGGAGGCCAUACAGAUUGGUGCCACUAAAGUACUGUCAAUGUUGUUGAUGACAGCAGAUUUCUUGCCACCAUAUUUUUCUGCAAGCAUCUUUGGUCUAGAGGAUAAACAGGUAUAGAG